CAGUCAAUACUGGCUGGAGGCACCGUAAGUCUGUCACAGCCAGAAUUGAUGAACG
rnacentral:pre_miRNA from 1 species